rnacentral:lncRNA from 1 species
CAGGGAGUAGACUUCAUGGUCACUUUCAGCCCUCCUGUCUCCCUUCUUUUGCUCUAGGAGAAAGAGCUUGAGGAAGGAGGGCCCCGCCAUAAAGCUGGGGAGAAAGUAAUCCUUUAAUUAAGAGGGGAAUUCUUUUGUACCUGCACUGUAUCCUUUUGAUGCAUUUAGAUAGAGGGAACCUGAGAGGCCAGGGACAAUGGCAGUUUGCUACUGUCUGAAUCCCUUCCCCUUACACUUAAUCCUGUCCUUAUUGGGACCUUGGGUGGAAAGCUGAUAAUUUUGGUGUUGUCCUAAAAAGGAAGGCAGUGCCUUGAAUUCCUGCCACUAUCCCCUGAUAAUGAACAGGCCUAAUGAAUGCGGGUGGGAAAACACAAUGAUCCUAAGCUCUGUGGUUUUCAAAGAAGUUCAUCAGUGGGGGGAGGAGAAAAUGGAGCAUAAGAGAAGUGUUGGCCAGACGUUCCCAGGAUUCCCAGGAUUCCCAGGUGGGUUUCAUAUAUUGUUCAACUAGAAGAACCAGACCAACUCAUCUUUCCCAGAAGACUG